UCAAUCAACAAAACCAUAUGGCUCUUCACUACUACAAGUAGUUCAUUUUAUUUCAUAAUAACACCCUUUCCGAUUUUGAUCUUACCAUUUCUCUCAAACAAACAAGAGAGUGUAGCGAGCGAGAGAUUCGAGCUGGCGGCUAAGAACGUUUCCGUUGAUGAAGAGGAGCAGCACAGCGUCACGCUGCUACCUGAUAUUGACGAAGAUGUUCCAAUUCAAAUCCCAAACACUGCUCAUCAAAUCAGCACUG